GAAGGCAAAAAGAAGGAAGAAAUUUUGUGCUGACUACUUGAAGCUUAUUUAUUUAAUUCUUCAAGAGGUAAAGAUUAAAAUUUUAUGGAAUGGUUAUGGUAAAUUUUCUAGGGUUCUUGGGAAUUGGUUGGGUUAAUUUUCAAAUUGAAGGAAAGAAUAUGAUUUCCAGCCGAUCUUUUUGAUUUGUAAAAGAUUUUUGUAUCAAGGUAAGUUAUGCUAAUUUUUGGCAAACCCUAAAUUUUUAUUUGGGAUUUUUGAAUAAGUAUAAUUAGGAGAAAUGAUUAUGAUGAUGGAAUAUUAACUUCGAAAAAUGAAUUUGUGGAAUAAGAUAUAAAUUAGAUUGGUGCAUGUGAGAAUUCGAAUUUCACUAGAUUAGAAGAAAGUAUUGUUUUUAUGUUUGGGAGAAAGGUAAUUCCGAUAAUUUAAAGAUUAGUGAAAGGACUAGAAAGUAGAAUUAGUUCCAAUUGUGAAGGAGAUUAAAGAUUAUAUUCAAGUUCCAAGACGUUAAGUUCUAAUAUUUCAUAGUUAAAUGUUAAGAAUAUUUGGAAUGGUAGUUGUUAGAUGGGUUAUUUGGUAUCAUAUUUAAGGUAAUGACGAGGAAAUUGGAAAAAAUUAUCGACCUUCAUAGCCUAUAGCUUGACUUGUAAGUGGAUAUAAACCUAUUUUUCAGAACUUAGUAUUUAAUAAGUUUAUAUUAAAUCAAAAAAUUUAUUAUUUCAUAUAGUUGAUUUGACAGCAUGAUUUUCAGAAUAAAGUGGAUUUAUAAUAAGUUAUUUUUAAAAUUAAAUUCAAUCCAAUUAAAUCAUUUUGAUUAGCAUGUUAUAUGAAUAUUAAAUAUUUCAGCAUAUUUAAAGUUAUUUUUAAAACUACCAUAAAGUACUCAGGUGAUUUUACCCUAAUUUACACUGUAAUGAAUGUGUUUCAACAGUGUAUGACCACAUAUGGUUAUUUCACCCAUUCUGCACUGGUGCGAAUAUGUUUCCAACAAUAUAUGAUCAGUUAUAGUUAUUUUACCCGUUCUGCAUUAUUAUGAAUGUGUUUCUAUAGUUUAUGAUCAUAUUAUAGCCUUUGGGUAGCUCUGCGCGUGCAUGACUAGAAUUACAGAAUUUUAGAUUUUCAGAAUAUAAUAAAUUUGUCGUCUAAGUCGGUAUUAAUCGAUACAUGAGUAAGGUUAUUUUGGGUACCUUUUUUGUGUGAUUUUCAGUAAGUUACAAGUUAUCAAUUUUCAGAUUACAGAAUUUAGUUACUUCAAUUUAAAGAAUAAAGAUUUUAACUUAUAGUACCGUAAAAGGAUAUUUUUAUUAUAUAUUAGUUUUUAGAAAGUUGGCAUAAAUGAAAAAUAUAAACUUAUUUGCGAAAUAUCUACUUACUGAGUUGUAGGCUCAUACAUUUUUAUCACCAUUUUUCUUAUCAGAUAGUAGUUGAGUUGAGCAGCGUUGGAGCCCAUUGAUCUACCGAGUUGAGCCAUACAUUGUCAAUCGUUAUAUGUUUCAUCUUGUUAGUUCAUAUAGUUUAUGUUUUUGGGAUUCUUGCAUUUUUUGUCAGAAAGGCAUAAAUUGUAAAUUAUUUAUCCAUGUUAUGGGCCUGUUGUGUUUUGUAUAUAUUAUGCAUUUGGGAACUUUUGUUUGUAAAUAAUUGCAAAGGUCAAAUUGUCAGUGUAGUAUUUUGAAUAAUUGUGUUUUGAGGGGUUAGUGUACCCUAUUUUAAAUUACAUAUACCUGUUUGGAAAAUUUGAUUAUACUUCAGAGGAUUUUAGUUCAU
rnacentral:lncRNA from 1 species